UACGAAGGGGGCUAGCGUUGUUCGGAUUUACUGGGCGUAAAGCGCACGUAGGCGGAUUGUUAAGUCAGGAGUGAAAUCCUGGAGCUCAACUCCAGAACUGCCUUUGAUACUGGCAAUCUCGAGUCCGGAAGAGGUAAGUGGAACUCCUAGUGUAGAGGUGGAAUUCGUAGAUAUUAGGAAGAACACCAGUGGCGAAGGCGGCUUACUGGUCCGGAACUGACGCUGAGGUGCGAAAGCGUGGGGAGCAAACAGG
rnacentral:rRNA from 1 species